rnacentral:tRNA from 1 species
GGAGAGGUGGCAGAGUGGUUGAAUGUACCUGACUCGAAAUCAGGCGUACGUGUAAACGUACCGGGGGUUCGAAUCCCCCCCUCUCCGCCA